UAAGCAUAUAAGUAAGCGGAGGACAAGAAACUAAAUAGGAUUCCCCCAGUAAUGGCGAAUGAACAGGGAAGAGCUCAGCAUGGAAAUCGGGGCCUCCCGGCCUUGAAUUGUAGUCUUGAGAUGUACUGCCAACGGAGGCGCAGAUGUAAGCCUCUUGGAAAAGAGCAUCAACGAGGGUGAGAGUCCCGUUUGUCAUCUGCAGUCCCCCGUGCACGGUGUACAUUCUAAGAGUCACGUUCCUCGGGAUUGGAGCGCAAAGUGGGUGGUAAAUUUCAUCUAAAGCUAAAUAUUGGUUCGAGACCGAUAGCAAACAAGUACCAUGAGGGAAAGGUGAAAAGGACUUUGAAAAGAGAGUUAAAAGUGCCUGAAAUUGCUGAAAGGGAAGCGAAUGGAACCAGUGUUCUUGAUGAGAUUGUCGCGUACUCUGGUGAUUGCUGGGUGCUCCACCGCAAGGGGGGCAUUUGGUUUUGAGCUAGAUGUGCGUGGUGUUUCUUGUCUUGUGUGUCACCGUCGGUGCACGAGCGAGUAAACCUCCAGGGAGAUGGUAACUCGUCUGCGGAUGAGUGAAUGUCUUUGGUAGUACUCAUUUGUGUAUCGAUCCCUGCGUGUCUGGUUGCAGUGUUUGAGUCGUCUGGAAGCUUCUGAAAGGCUUGCCCUCGAUGAACUUUCUGGGCUCCUUGAGCAUCUCCCUGACACAAAGACGAUGACUAAAUGGUUCUAUUCGACCCGUCUUGAA
rnacentral:rRNA from 1 species